GACGAACGCUGGCGGCGUGCUUAACACAUGCAAGUCGAACGGAAACGCCCUGCUUUUGUGGGGUGCUCGAGUGGCGAACGGAUGAGUAACACGUGAGUAACCUGCUCUCGACUUUGGGAUAACUUCAGGUAAAUGGGGCUACUAACGGAUAGGAGCUCCUGCUGAAUGGAGGGGGUUGGAUAGUUUCGGCGGGUGGGGAUAGAUUCGCGGCUUAUGAGCUCGUUGGUGGGGUAGUGGCUUACCACGGCUUUGACGGGUAGGCGACAUGGGAGGGUGACCGGCCACAUUGGGACUGAGAUACGGCGCAGACUCCUACAGGGGGCAGCGGUGGCAAGUAUUGCACAAUGGGCGGGAGCCUGAGGCAGCAGCGCCGCGGGCGGAAUGACGGCCUUCGGGGUGUGAACCGCUUACGCCUGUGACGAAGCGUGAGUGACGUUAAUGGGUGAAGAAGCACCGGCUAACUACGUG
rnacentral:rRNA from 1 species